UCACUUACGUGAUGAAAAAUAAUGUUGGUAGGGACAUCUGAUAUAAACUGAUGAAUGCCAACGUUUCUGAUAAGUGU